UAUUUAUUUAUUUUUUACUUUUUAGAAAAUAGAAAAAAAGAGACCCAUGAUCUCCAUUCCAAUUUCGCCUUCAUCCAAAACGCGCGAAAAUGGUGAAAGUUUUUUUUGGCUCCUAACACUUUUCCACUCGAAUCAGUUACUUAGUGUUGAUCUACUUGCUUUCUACACGGUUACACGCUUACUUCCUCUGUGCUCAGGUGAGGGGUUAAUUAAUCUAAUAUUUGUUUUGCAAUUUAUCCAGUAAUUUGUUUGUUUUCUCUGUAGUCAGCUUAAUGUAAUUUCAAGAUCGGCAACGAGUUGGGUUUGAUGCCGGCAAAGUCUUCAUUGUUCUUCGAACUCCAAUUCUGGGUGAUAUUGCAUGCCUGGUGCCACUGCCUUGCUGCUUGCUGCGUCUGCUACCUGCUGCUGCGGUUGGCUGUGACUAAUUGUAGGGAAAUUGCUACUGCAAGUAGGUGUGCGACUUACAACAUGUUCCGAGAGAACAAUUACAUCCUAUUCUUGCCAAACAAAUCCUUAAAAGUUUUGAUUUUUAUUUUGUCGAACUUUUGUAUCACUUGUUUUUAUGUUGUUACAGAAAUAUUAUAUUGUCCCACUUGAGGCCAAUAAAUGGGUUUUGCAAACCAUUGGCGCUGCUUGGAGAUGGUACAAAUGUUAUUUGAAAAGAGUAAACUUUCAUAAAUAUGACAAUGAUAAAAACAAUGUUUAAGGAUUUGUUAAAGAUUUGGAAUGAUGACAAAUAUGAGGAACUUGUAUGCAAAAUACAGCGGCAAAUUGGUUAGUUGGAAAGGAAAAUAACUAUAUGCAUGCUUCAGGACCAAAGAGCGAGUUUUGCUAGGGGUCGACAUAAGUGGGUAAGUUUGUCUUGGCUUUUUUCUUUUUUCAUCACUUUUAUUAGUGGUUUUAUUUUGUAAUUAAGAUGAUUGACAAUCAUCACUCUUGUAUAGAAAUGGGAUUAUAAAACAACACAAAAUCCUAGUUUAGCUCAAAUGUUCAUGGCACUCGCAAGGAAAAGCUAACAAAGCUAAUAAAACAACACAAAAUCCUAGUUUAGCCCUUUAUUUCUUGAUAGUCAAUCUAAGAAGAAUAGUAAUAUAUCAUGAAUGCUUCGACUUCAGUCUUCGGCUUCUACAUCCAAUUAGGCACAAACCUUUUGUUUUCUAUAUUACACAAAGUAGAGAUAUAUAGUUAGUAAGGUUUAUAUAAUUUUUCUCCUUUUUUUUGGUGUACUUGAGAUAUAUUAAGUUGGUAAAUUCUCUACGACAUCCCUUAACUUAUAAAAAGUCAAUAUGGUUAGCUAAUGUGACUAUCGUUCAAUCUUCGAUUUGAUCAUCCUUCUUACGUAAAGUAGAGGUAUAUAGUGACUAAGGUCACUAUGUGUAUUAGUAAAGAGCAAGGUGUCACUUUAUGGAAUUAAAGAGCAAGGUGUCACUUUAUGGAACAAAUGUUUUGCCCUGGGAUCAUAUAAAAUUUUUAAAGUUUUUGAAAGCUGAGGGGUACCUUAUAGAAUUUCAUCCCUAUUAAGUUUCAUUAUUCGUCAUAACAACAAAAUCAUUCAAGCCUUUAUAUCCAUUAUUUUAUACUUUUCUUUUUUUUUUUUUUUUGUUUUUUUUUUCAUGUCAUUAGUUGUGCAUAAGACAUUCGAAAUACAAAGUAUAUAAAUUCUAGGUUUUUUUUUUUUUUUUUUUUUUUUUUUUUUUUUUUUUUUUUUUUUUUUUUUUUUUUUUUUUCUCUUCAAGGAAGUGCAUAGUAUGGAGGAUGAAAAAGCUGAAGAAGGCAUCGCGUAAGAAAAAGAAGAAGAAUGUGACGUCAUAGUUCAAUUUAAAUUUGCUUUUUCCUUUUUAUUGUUAUUCCUUGCUCGGACAUAAAUUUUUCUUCUAUUUAUUAGCUAGGCCAAUAUCAGAGAUGAAUUUGGUGUUAAAAUCAUGUUGAUAUUACUUUUUUUUGUUACUAAUUACUUUUAUAAGUUUCGGAUUGUCUAAUCAAAUUCUUAUUACAUGUUUCGAUGUUCACCAUUUUUCUAAUAUCGCAAAUUCACAAGAAUACUUUCCACUCUUUAAAUAAUGUAAUAUAACACUUAACUUUCUAACACUUAACCGUGAAGAAAGAACAAGGAAGA